rnacentral:rRNA from 1 species
AACGAACGCUGGCGGCAGGCUUAACACAUGCAAGUCGCGCGCCCCGCAAGGGGAGCGGCAGACGGGUGAGUAACGCGAGGGAAUCUACCCAUCUCUACGGAAUAACGCAUGGAAAUGCGUGCUAAUACCGUAUACGUACUUCGGGAGAAAGGUUUAUCGGAGAAGGAUGAGCCCGCGUUGGAUUAGCUAGUUGGUGGGGUAAAGGCCUACAAAGGCGACGAUCCAUAGCUGGUCUGAGAGAAUGAUCAGCGACACUGGAACUGAGACACGUCCCAGAAGCCUACGCGAGGCAGCAGUGGGGAAUAUUGGACAAUAUGCGCAGGCCUGAUUCAUCCAUGCCGCGUGUGUGAUGAAUGCCCUAGGGUUGUAAAGCUCUUUCACCGGUGAAGAUAAUGACGGUAACCGGAGAAGAAGCCCCGGCUAACAUCGUGCCAGCCGCCGCAGUAACAC